AGUUGCAUACAACUCUGAAUUGCAAAUUUAAAUCUAGCUUUUCUGCAUUCUGUCUCCCGCCCCAGGAACAUCAACCAUUCCUAUGCAUGACUGUGCAUUCAGACCUUAAGUAGUCUCUCAGUUAGCAGAUCAUCUCAGAAUCAUGGCACCUGAUCUCAGAGGGAGCUGAUUGUGGCUGUGGGUUGAUUCCAGCUAGUCUAACAGAAAGGCACUGGGAGUAUUUCCGAAGUCCUGCACCACGGAGCUAGACUUAGGUGUCUGAGGGUUAACCUGAGCUCAGUGGGAGCAGAAAGAAUUCCAGAAGCAGCAUAGCAGCCACAGGCUGGCCAUCCACGCCUUCCCUCCUGUACCCCCCCCCCCC